GAAUUCGCCCUUCCUACGGGAGGCAGCAGCCGCGGUAAUACAAGGGCGAAUUC
rnacentral:rRNA from 1 species